rnacentral:rRNA from 1 species
GAUGAACGCUAGCGGCAGGCCUAAUACAUGCAAGUCGAACGGUGUCUUCGGACAUAGUGGCGCACGGGUGCGUAACACGUAUGCAACCUACCUUACAUUGGGGGAUAGCCUUUCGAAAGGGAGAUUAAUACCGCAUAAGACAGUAGCUGGGCAUCCAGCAGCUGUUAAAGAUUUAUCGAUGUAAGCUGGGCAUGCGUCCAAUUAGCUAGUUGGUGAGGUAACGGCUCUCCAAGGCUAUGAUUGGUAGGGGAACUGAGAGGUCAAUCCCCCACACUGGCACUGAGAUACGGGCCAGACUCCUACGGGAGGCAGCAGUAGGGAAUAUUGGGCAAUGGACGCAAGUCUGACCCAGCCAUGCCGCGUGCAGGAUGAAGGCGUUAUGCGUUGUAAACUGCUUUUAUACAGGAAGAAACGACUCUUGCGAGAGGCAUUGACGGUACUGUAUGAAGUAA